ensembl:rRNA 5S_rRNA 5S ribosomal RNA
GUCUACACCCAUACCACCCUGAACAUGCCUGAUCUCUUCUGAACUUACAAAGCUAAGCAGGGUUGGGCUUGGUUUGUACUUGGAUAGGGAAGCACCUCUUAUAAUCACAGAAGUCAAAAUUGAUGUGAGUA